UCAAACUUGGUCAUUUAGAGGAAGUAAAAGUCGUAACAAGGUCUCCGUUGGUGAACCAGCGGAGGGAUCAUUACCGGGUCUAGCGACUGCCCGAACCAUCACACCGUGAACCCUACGAGACCCUUUCCGCUGCGGCGGGCCGCCCGCUGGGGGGGGCUGCCGACCCGCCGAAGCGAACGCCCGAAGGGGAAGAAAACCUUCUGAAGCUCUUCUGAGAAGCGCCGAUUGGCCUUCGCAGCGAAGGCGAGAUCACAACCCACAGCAAUGGAUCUCUUGGCUCUGGCAUCGAUGAAGAACGCAGC
rnacentral:misc_RNA from 1 species